CCCUCAAUUCCUCAGGAUGUGAGGAAAUGAAGCAAAGGAAAAAUACCUCUCCCCUCCCACCUUGAGCAUAGCUCCCUGUCAGCACCGCAGCCUGGGAACCAAGGUGGAGAGAAGAUGUGAUCACACUGCUCUUGGCUAUUGGGACUGUCACCAGACAGGGUCUGAAGGGGUCUCUGAAGUGGAGCUGGGGAACCUCAUCUUACUCCACCCACAGGAUCGAACUCAGGACCUUGCACUUGUGAGGCAGGCACAGGAACCACUGAGCUAAAUCCCCAGCCCAAAAACUUAUUUUCUUUGAGCAGGACAUAACAAACAGGUGAAAAAAGCCAGCCCCCACGGACCAGCCUCCUAUAGCAGAAGCUAUGAGGAAAACCACACAGCAGAGAAAAAUACUCAUGUAAAGAUCUGUGCACCAUGCUUAAGCUAUAUGAAGAAAAGGUCCAAAUAAAUCUAAUACCUAAACAACACACUGGAGCAGAGGGCUGCAGAUGAACUUGGACAGAUACUUUCUCAGCAGAUAUACACCAUCACAGGAACAGAGUACCUCUGAGCAUGACUCCCUUCAGUCAGCAUGGAAGAUUAAUGAAACCAGCUUUUAACUCUAAAAUUAUAAAAUGAUAUAAUGCAGAAUAAACAUAAUUAUUUGUUUGUUUGUUUUGUUUUGGUACCGGGGAUUGAACUCGGGACUUUGCAUUUGUGAGGCAGGCAGUAGAACCACUGAGCUAAAUCCCCGGCCCUAAGCAUAAUUGUUGUCAGAGCAGACACAGACCUUCUGGCAUUAUAUGGAAAGAUAUCUGAUGUAUUGCAUAAACCCGGAUCCCUCUAGCAUUUCCUCAGACUUCCCUUCUUCAUCCAGCUGCACUUGUGCUUUUCGUCCUUAAACAUGUAUCUGCUUUGAACCUGAUGGAUCAGGUGAUUCCAAACUACACUUUCCCCUGGGCUACUCACCAUUUCUAGUUCAUCUCCUGGGCAAAUAUCCCAACCCUUGGAAGUUAGGCACACAGUCUGUGCAUGUACUAAGCAUGUGGCUUUCUGCAUAUGUCUGCACAUCAUUUUUCAGGAAACUCUAUUUCACACUGCACCAGCUUGCUGAGUAGCUGUUGUUCACACCCACUGAGAAAUAACUCCAUGUGAGAAUAAUACCUUUACAACUUUGAAAUGUCCUCAGACAGACUUCUCAUCUCCAGGCCAUCAACCUGCUGUGAACUCUCAUCCUGACUUUUCACACUUACAGGCAACAGUCAUGCAACAUACUGUCAAACAAUAUGAAGGUUUGGGGAGAUGUGGAGGAGUGAAAAAUUUUAAAUUGGAGCCUGAACAUCUUUUGAGAUGGGUGUAAUUUUUAAUAAUUAAAAAAUCUAUCACACAUACAA
ensembl:lncRNA